ensembl:snRNA LOC120100498 U4 spliceosomal RNA
AGCUUUGCGCAGUGGCAGUAUCGUAGCCAAUGAGGUUUAUCCGAGGUGCGAUUAUUGCUAAUUGGAAAUACACCAGUACCAUAGGCAUGAAGCAUGCUACCAGGGCCACGGAAUUUUUACCUCACAGCCAUCUCAACUAGAUUAGAGG